rnacentral:rRNA from 1 species
UACAGAGGUGGCAAGCGUUGUUCGGAAUUACUGGGCGUAAAGGGCGCGUAGGCGGCCUUCUAAGUCAGACGUGAAAUCCCCCGGCUUAACCUGGGAACUGCGUCUGAUACUGGGAGGCUAGAGUAUGGGAGAGGGAUGUAGAAUUCCAGGUGUAGCGGUGAAAUGCGUAGAUAUCUGGAGGAACACCGGUGGCGAAGGCGGCAUCCUGGACCGGCAUUGACGCUGAUGAGCGAAAGCCAGGGGAGCAAACGGG